rnacentral:rRNA from 1 species
CUCGCGCUAUAGGGGCGGCCGAUGGCAGAUUAGCUAGUUGGUGGGGUAAAGGCCUACCAAGGCGACGAUCUGUAGCUGGUCUGAGAGGACGACCAGCCACACUGGGACUGAGACACGGCCCAGACUCCUACGGGAGGCAGCAGUGGGGAAUUUUGGACAAUGGGGGCAACCCUGAUCCAGCAAUGCCGCGUGUGUGAAGAAGGCCUUCGGGUUGUAAAGCACUUUUGUCCGGAAAGAAAACGUCUUGGUUAAUACCCGAGGCGGAUGACGGUACCGGAAGAAUAAGCACCGGCUAACUACGUGCCAGCAGCCGCGGUAAUACGUAGGGUGCGAGCGUUAAUCGGAAUUACUGGGCGUAAAGCGUGCGCAGGCGGUCUGUUAAGACCGAUGUGAAAUCCCCGGGCUUAACCUGGGAACUGCAUUGGUGACUGGCAGGCUUUGAGUGUGGCAGAGGGGGGUAGAAUUCCACGUGUAGCAGUGAAAUGCGUAGAGAUGUGGAGGAAUACCGAUGGCGAAGGCAGCCCCCUGGGCCAACACUGACGCUCAUG